GAAAAAAGAUAGAAAAGAAACAGAAAGAAACGAAACAGAGAGCAAGGAAGGAAAGAAAAGAAAGAAAGGGAGAAAAGGGAAAUUUUAGAUUUCAAGGUUUGAAAGUUUAAUUGGUUAAGGUUAGACCGUUGAAUUAGCAUUCCAGGCCGAUCCCGAAUUCAAUGAGGGUUAAUCGGUUGCUGAAAAUUUGUGGGUGAAGAUGAAAGGGUUUUUUGGAAAAUGUUUUAUGUUUUAACUUAAUUUAAAAAAUAACAGAUGUUGUUAUGGUUUCCAAAUUUAUGUAUCAAUUAAAUUAAAAAGAAAGUUUAAGUACUAAAUAA